AAUAUACCCCCUCCGUCCGAAAAUACUUGUCCAAGGAAUGGAUGUAUCUAGAUGUAUUUUAGUUCUAAAUACAUCCAUUUAUAUCCAUUUCUACGACAAGUAUUUUCGGACGGAGGGAGUAUAUU
rnacentral:pre_miRNA from 1 species